AUCCGAAUCAACGGAACAGCCUGCUCGUGAAAUUAACGUGUAAGUGGCUGAGCACUCCACAGACACACAAGCAUUCUCUUAAUGUAGUUCACAGGGAGAUUGAGUGUGACACAGAG